GACUUGGUCAAGUUGUUGCUGGCUCUCUCAAAGCAUGUGCACACUUGGCUCUUGUUUCUUUAAACCCACUUGUGCACCUUUUGUAGACUUUGGAAGAGUUUGAGUCGAGAGUGAUCUUGGCCCUUACACAUCCGAGUCUAUGUCUUUUUCAUAUCAUUUUACUCUGAGUAUAAAAAUGUUUUCUAAGGCAUUAUUAAUGCCUUUAAAUCAUAUACAACUUUCAACAACGGAUCUCUUGGCUCUCGCAUCGAUGAAAAACGCAGCGAAAUGCGAUAAGUAAUGUGAAUUGCAAAAUUCAGUGAAUCAUCAAAUCUUUGAACGCACCUUGCGCUCCUUGGUAUUCCGAGGAGCAUGCCAGUUUGAGUGUCAUGAAAUUCUCAACCUUUGUUACUUUUUUUGUUUCAAAGUGAAUGGAAGGGGAGGUGGCUGGCUUUUGGUUGAAAGAGAAGGCUCCUCUCAAAUAAAAUAAUGGGACCCAUCCCUGAUUAGCUCCCGGGCGUGAGAGUUAUCUACACCGGGGCUCAGCACAAUAUUGUGUGGGUCAGCUUUCUAACGAGACAACAACAACUGCCUUUGAUUAUUUUGACCUCAAAUCAGGUAGGACUACCCGCUCAACUUAAGCAUAUCAAUAAGCGGAGGAAAAGAAAAUAACAAGGAUUCCCCUACCCACUGCGAUGAGGGGGGAAAAGGGAAA
rnacentral:rRNA from 1 species